AGUCGAACGCCCCGCAAGGGGAGUGGCGGACGGGUGAGUAACGCGUGGGAAUUUUCCUCAAGGUACGGAACAACUCAGGGAAACUUGGGCUAAUACCGUAUGAUGCAGCGAUGCCAAAGAUUUAUCGCCUUGGGAUAAGCCCGCGUCAGAUUAGGUAGUUGGUGGGGUAACGGCCUACCAAGCCUGCGAUCUGUAGCUGGUCUGAGAGGACGAUCAGCCACAUUGGGACUGAGACACGGCCCAAACUCCUACGGGAGGCAGCAGUGGGGAAUCUUGCGCAAUGGGCGAAAGCCUGACGCAGCCAUGCCGCGUGAAUGAUGAAGGUCUUAGGAUUGUAAAGUUCUUUAGCCUGUGACGAUGAUGACGGUAACAGGAGAAUAAGCCCCGGCUAACUUCGUGCCAGCAGCCGCGGUAAUACGAAGGGGGCUAGCGUUGUUCGGAAUUACUGGGCGUAAAGCGCGCGUAGGCGGUUUUACAAGCCAGAGGUGAAAUGCCUGAGCUUAACUUGGGAAUUGCCUUUGGAACUGUAUGACUUCGAGGACGAGAGAGGUGAGUGGAAUUCCCAGUGUAGAGGUGAAAUUCGUAGAUAUUGGGAAGAACACCGGUGGCGAAGGCGGCUCACUGGCUCGUUUCUGACGCUGCAGCGCGAAAGCGUGGGGAUCAAACAGGAUUAGAUACCCUGGUAGUCCACGCUGUAAACGAUGAGUGCUAGGCGUCGGCACGCUUGCGUGUCGGUGCCGCAGCUAACGCGUGAAGCACUCCGCCUGGGGAGUACGGUCGCAAGAUUAAAACUCGAAGGAAUUGACGG
rnacentral:rRNA from 1 species